ensembl:lncRNA
UGCUGAGAGACAGAGGCCAGAAGUCUGGGCUCCCGAGGGUAGGUGGGGGGAAGGAGUGCGAGUCCUUGUCGCCUGCCAAGUCUGCUCCUGCGCGUGCCGCGCGUGCCCUCCUGGUCCCAGGGCCUCGCCUGCGCACACGACUCUGGCCUGCAGCCGGGACCUGGCGCAGGGGACGCCCAGGUGUGAGAGAGACACAGGUGUGUGGGACCCAGGUCUGCUGGGGAUCCAGGUGGUUCGGAGAAACCAACUGAAUGGUCAGAAGAGGGUCGCAAACACUGCCCAAGCUUAAAUCCUAGUGCUGUCUCCAUGUGGACCUAUUCAGACAUCUUAACAUCACCCAGGGAAGUGGACCUGAUGUCACUCUGGCAGGUAAGGAAAGGCAAGACUAGUGAUAUUCACAGGCCCAGGAUUUUAAAAGUUUGGAAUUAUCUGCUCUGACCUUUUGUGNNCCCUUUUCUCCUUUCCUUUCCUCAAACCCUCCAAUUUCAUUUAAAUUUUAUUGAACAUCUACUAUGUACCAGGCAACAUGUUAGGCACUAGGGGUACAGUGAAGAUCAGAGAGAAAGACAGCCCCUAACCUACUGGAGCUCUCAGUUUUAUUGUAGCCACAAACUAUGCAACUAUAAUGACACAAAUAAUCAUUUAAUUACAGUUAUAGUGGUUGCAUCUAAGGAAAAUGACAGGAGUAAUGAGAGUGGAUGAUGGAGGGACUUAACCUCCCUUGUUAGUCUAGAGGAAGAGGGAGCAGGCAGGAAAGGCCAGAUCAGACCUGAAGAAUGAGUAAGAGUCAGCCAGCCACGCAGGGGGAAGUGCCCUGGGCAAAGGGAGUUCCUGCCAAAAUGUUAGAUGAUAACUUUAUGGUGUGUUGCCUUCACCAGAGGUAUUUGAUUCUUGACUGGGGACUCCCAAAGGGAUAAAUAUUUAAUGGUGGGGUUUUUGAGAGACAUGUGACCAGCUGAUAGGGUAAGGAGGCCUUCUCAGCAGCAUUCGAGCCGCACCAUGUGUCCAGGAAGCCUAUCUCUGGGUAUGCGUUCUGUGUUGAAACGUAAAUGCACAUUUGAGACUGUGAAUGUAGGUGCAGGUGUGUGUGAAUAAAUGCAGAGCUAUAACUAAUAAUUUUGACAUCUGAGCCACGCAGCAGAAACAUAUCUUUAAAUCCAGGGAUAUGCCAAUUCAUGGGGGAGAUGCAGGAGAACCAAGAAGGGAAACUUCCCCUGCAUGCGCAUAGGGCCCCCAUCAGGUAAACCCCGCACCCUUGACCUUGGACAUCCCAGAUCAUCCAUCUCUGCCAAGUGUCAGGGGCAGACUAAGCAGCCCUGCUAGCGAAGCGUUGGUAUUGAAGGUGGGGGAGGAGGAGAGGCUUUAAAAUUUGCACAGUCUUUUAGAAAAUUGAUAUUCAGAACAUCGGCAUCCUCCCUAUUUUUGUUCCUGGGCCCUCGGUGAGUGCCACGUGCUCAGUUGUGUCCAACUCUUUGCAACUCCGUGGACCGUAGCCUGCCAGGCUCUUUAGUCUAUGGAAUUUUCCAUGUAAGAAUAUUAGAGUGGGUUGCCAUUUCCUCCUCCAGGGGAUCUUCCAGACCCAGGGACA